CGGGACACGUGGUAUCCUGUCUGAAUAUGGGGGGACCAUCCUCCAAGGCUAAAUACUCCUGACUGACCGAUAGUGAACCAGUACCGUGAGGGAAAGGCGAAAAGAACCCCGGCGAGGGGAGUGAAAAAGAACCUGAAACCGUGUACGUACAAGCAGUGGGAGCCUCUUUAUGGGGUGACUGCGUACCUUUUGUAUAAUGGGUCAGCGACUUAUAUUCUGUAGCAAGGUUAACCGAAUAGGGGAGCCGAAGGGAAACCGAGUCUUAACUGGGCGUUAAGUUGCAGGGUAUAGACCCGAAACCCGGUGAUCUAGCCAUGGGCAGGUUGAAGGUUGGGUAACACUAACUGGAGGACCGAACCGACUAAUGUUGAAAAAUUAGCGGAUGACUUGUGGCUGGGGGUGAAAGGCCAAUCAAACCGGGAGAUAGCUGGUUCUCCCCGAAAGCUAUUUAGGUAGCGCCUCGUGAAUUCAUCUCCGGGGGUAGAGC
rnacentral:rRNA from 1 species